GGGUUGUGAGGUUAAGCGACUAAGCGUACACGGUGGAUGCCCUGGCAGUCAGAGGCGAUGAAGGACGUGCUAAUCUGCGAAAAGCGUCGGUAAGGUGAUAUGAACCGUUAUAACCGGCGAUGUCCGAAUGGGGAAACCCAGUGCAAUUCGUUGCACUAUCGUUAACUGAAUACAUAGGUUAACGAGGCGAACCGGGGGAACUGAAACAUCUAAGUACCCCGAGGAAAAGAAAUCAACCGAGAUUCCCCCAGUAGCGGCGAGCGAACGGGGAGCAGCCCAGAGUCUGAAUCAGCUUGUGUGUUAGUGGAACGGUCUGGAAAGUCCGACGGUACAGGGUGAUAGUCCCGUACACCAAAAUGCACAGGCUGUGAACUCGAAGAGUAGGGCGGGACACGUGGUAUCCUGUCUGAAUAUGGGGGGACCAUCCUCCAAGGCUAAAUACUCCUGACUGACCGAUAGUGAACCAGUACCGUGAGGGAAAGGCGAAAAGAACCCCGGCGAGGGGAGUGAAAAAGAACCUGAAACCGUGUACGUACAAGCAGUGGGAGCACCUUCGGGUGUGACUGCGUACCUUUUGUAUAAUGGGUCAGCGACUUAUAUUCUGUAGCAAGGUUAACCGUAUAGGGGAGCCGCAGGGAAACCGAGUCUUAACUGGGCGUUAAGUUGCAGGGUAUAGACCCGAAACCCGGUGAUCUAGCCAUGGGCAGGUUGAAGGUUGGGUAACACUAACUGGAGGACCGAACCGACUAAUGUUGAAAAAUUAGCGGAUGACUUGUGGCUGGGGGUGAAAGGCCAAUCAAACCGGGAGAUAGCUGGUUCUCCCCGAAAGCUAUUUAGGUAGCGCCUCGUGAAUUCAUCUUCGGGGGUAGAGCACUGUUUCGGCUAGGGGGUCAUCCCGACUUACCAACCCGAUGCAAACUACGAAUACCGAAGAAUGUUAUCACGGGAGACACACGGCGGGUGCUAACGUCCGUCGUGAAGAGGGAAACAACCCAGACCGCCAGCUAAGGUCCCAAAGUCAUGGUUAAGUGGGAAACGAUGUGGGAAGGCACAGACAGCCAGGAUGUUGGCUUAGAAGCAGCCAUCAUUUAAAGAAAGCGUAAUAGCUCACUGGUCGAGUCGGCCUGCGCGGAAGAUGUAACGGGGCUAAACCAUGCACCGAAGCUGCGGCAGCGACACUAUGUGUUGUUGGGUAGGGGAGCGUUCUGUAAGCCUGCGAAGGUGUGCUGUGAGGCAUGCUGGAGGUAUCAGAAGUGCGAAUGCUGACAUAAGUAACGAUAAAGCGGGUGAAAAGCCCGCUCGCCGGAAGACCAAGGGUUCCUGUCCAACGUUAAUCGGGGCAGGGUGAGUCGACCCCUAAGGCGAGGCCGAAAGGCGUAGUCGAUGGGAAACAGGUUAAUAUUCCUGUACUUGGUGUUACUGCGAAGGGGGGACGGAGAAGGCUAUGUUAGCCGGGCGACGGUUGUCCCGGUUUAAGCAUGUAGGCUG
rnacentral:rRNA from 2 species